CUCCACAGGGAUGGGUAGCUUGUAAAAGGGCAUGUUUCAGCCAGCCGCUUAAGUGUUCUUCCUGAAUGGAAAGUGACGUCAUCUAUUGACGAAAAAAAUCAUUUUUUUCAGAAAAUAGUAGAUCAGGAUAGCAUGCAGUAAUAGAGAUUCAUAUUAAUUUCUGAAUAGAUAAACAGCAUCUAUUAUGAUGUUUAUAUCCGAGACAUUCAUAGAUAUCUUCAGAUAUAUUAGUUCGAAUCCAUUGUACUAAUUUUCAUAAAAUUUAGUACUUGAGAUCUUUAUAGAAAUCUAUCUAGCAAAUUUCAUUUUGAUUCAAAUUUUGUUAUAUAACGGUCAUUGAAUGGAAAGGCAAUGGAUUCGGCUGACAUGAUAAAUAGUUUCAAGGGAGGGAUCAGAAACUCGAACCCGGAUCUUGCAGACUAAAAGAGCGAAGGAACACCGUUGCUGGUGAGAUUAGGCUGAAUUACACUGCUGAAUCAUUCAAGGAAUAUAUUUGGCGGCCAUCAUCUGCACAGUCCAUUACAGGCUGAUAUCAGUGGUAGGCAGCCAGGAAUUCACCUGACUUUUUUUUUUUGCAUAUUUUACGUCCCUUUCCAAUCAGAGAGAUUAUUAAGGGGAACCUCCAAUUACGAGCUGUACCCACACCUGUAGAAGGGGCCAGAUGAUGAGCGAACCGCCCAUCCGGCGCCCUCCACAGGUGGGGAGGCCCGGAGGGAGCCCAUCCGGAGUGGGGAGGCCCGGCGAUUCCCGAAAUCUUUUCGGGGAUCGCCGGGUAGGGCCCAGCACCCCGAAAAAACUUUUCAGGAGUUACCAGAUCCACGCAGGAGUUACCAGAUCCACGCAGGAGUUACCAUUUUCAGGAGUUAUUUAUUUAUUUAUUUAAAUAAAGAUUAGAGGGCAUACUCGAU
rnacentral:lncRNA from 1 species